GGGGGGGAAGACACUGAUAUAAAGUUUUCAAACUUUGCUCUCGUAUAAAAGACAACUCGGUUUUAUAAGCAGAGAAUGCCAUCAAGAAUUAGAGUGGUAACACAAACUGCUCACACUGAGAUUUACUUUGGUAUGCAAACAUGAACCCAGUGCAAACACAAGCCAAAAAUAGAAAAAUGAAUUGAAAGCUCAUCAAACUAUCAGCAUAUAGAUUUGUUCGAUUAUAUCAAAUUUUUCUCAUUCACGGACAGUGUGAUGCAAAUCAGCCAAUUUUAGCCCUCUUCUGACUUCAAUUGGUAAACAAAGGUACCAUGGCAGUUGAAAAACGUACACGUGGGUACGUGACUUAGCAAAUCCGGGAAAUUAAAUCACAGACCCACACAUUUCAUAUUAAAGGUAACAAUACCGAGAACCAGUGAAGUAAUAGAAAUCUCCUACAUGGUUCUAGUUGUCUAGACUUCCGUUUUUCAAAUACCAUAUUGAUAAUGGACAUAAAAA